GUUAUUCGGAAUUAUUGGGCGUAAAGGGCGCGUAGGCGGCUAGAUGUGUCAAAGGUGAAAUCCCUCGGCUCAACUGAGGAACUGCCUUUGAAACUGUCUGGCUUGAGGCCGGGAGAGGGUAGCGGAAUUCCCAGUGUAGCGGUGAAAUGCGUAGAUAUCUGGAGGAACACCGGUGGCGAAGGCGGCAUCCUGGACCGGUAUUGACGCUGAGGCGCGAAAGCCAGGGGAGCAAACGGG
rnacentral:rRNA from 1 species